UGGCGGCGUGCUUAACACAUGCAAGUCGAACGGAAAGGCCCUGCUUUUGUGGGGUGCUCGAGUGGCGAACGGGUGAGUAACACGUGAGUAACCUGCCCUUGACUUUGGGAUAACUUCAGGAAACUGGGGCUAAUACCGGAUAGGAGCUCCUGCUGCAUGGUGGGGGUUGGAAAGUUUCGGCGGUUGGGGAUGGACUCGCGGCUUAUCAGCUUGUUGGUGGGGUAGUGGCUUACCAAGGCUUUGACGGGUAGCCGGCCUGAGAGGGUGACCGGCCACAUUGGGACUGAGAUACGGCCCAGACUCCUACGGGAGGCAGCAGUGGGGAAUAUUGCACAAUGGGCGGAAGCCUGAUGCAGCAACGCCGCGUGCGGGAUGACGGCCUUCGGGUUGUAAACCGCUUUCGCCUGUGACGAAGCGUGAGUGACGGUAAUGGGUAAAGAAGCACCGGCUAACUACGUGCCAGCAGCCGCGG
rnacentral:rRNA from 2 species